rnacentral:rRNA from 1 species
CAGUAACACGUGGAUAACCUGCCNNCGGGAUAACCCCGGGAAACUGGGGAUAAANNNNGAUAGGUGAUGCUGCCUGGAAUGGUNNNUCACCGAAACACCUUCGGGUGCCCAAGGAUGGGUCUGCGGCCGAUUAGGUUGUUGGUAGGGUAACGGCCUACCAAGCCGAUCAUCGGUACGGGUUGUGAGAGCAAGAGCCCGGAGAUGGAUUCUGAGACAUGAAUCCAGGCCCUACGGGGCGCAGCAGGCGCGAAAACUUUACAAUGCGGGAAACCGUGAUAAGGGGACACCGAGUGCCAGCAUCAUAUGUUGGCUGUCCAGAUGUGUAAAAUACAUCUGUUAGCAAGGGCCGGGCAGGACCGGUGCCAGCCGCCGCGGUAACACCGGCAGCUCGAGUGGUAGCCGCGUUUAUUGGGCCUAAAGCGUCCGUAGCCGGUCCGAUAAGUCUCUGGUGAAAGCCCACAGCUCAACUGUGGGAAUCGCUGGAGAUACUAUCGGACUUGAGGCCGGGAGAGGCUGGAGGUACUCCCAGGGUAGGGGUGAAAUCCUAUAAUCCUGGGAGGACCACCUGUGGCGAAGGCGUCCAGCUGGAACGGACCUGACGGUGAGGGACGAAAGCCAGGGGCGCGAACCGGAUUAGAUACCCGGGUAGUCCUGGCCGUAAACGAUGCGGACUUGGUGUUGGGACGGCUUUGAGCUGUCCCAGUGCCGAAGGGAAGCUGUUAAGUCCGCCGCCUGGGAAGUACGGCCGCAAGGCUGAAACUUAAAGGAAUUGGCGGGGGAGCA